rnacentral:lncRNA from 1 species
CUCAUUUUUCUCUUGCCGCCACCACGAAAGAAGUGCCUUUUGCCUCCCGUCAUGAUUCUGAGGCCUCCCCAGCCAUGUGGAACUGUUUGAGGCACAGAGCUGUAUAUACAAUAACAGUGAAAUUGAUCCCACUACUAAUUAUGACAAAAAUGAUCUUCCACGUAAACAGGUGGUGAAGCUCCUUAUGGUCCUGACCCUACAGUUCCUGUCCCAUGACCAGGGCCAGAUCACCAAGGAGCUGCAGCAGUUCGUCGUCAGUGGCAGCCCCAUGCGAGCACCCGAGGAAGUCACAGGUGCCCAGGCCGGAGUGCAGUGGCGUGAUCUCGGCUCGCUACAACCACCACCUCCUAGCAGCCUGCCUUGGCCUUCCAAAGUGCUGAGAUUGCAGCCUCUGCCCAGCCGCCACCCCGUCUGGGAAGUGAGGAGCGUCUCUGCCUGGCCGCCCAUCGUCUGGGAUGUGAGGAGCCCCUCCGCCCAGCAGCCGCCCCGUCUGAGAAGUGAGGAGCCCCUCAGCCCGGCAGCCACCCCAUCUGAGAAGUGAGGAGCCCCUCCACCUGGCAGCCACCCCGUCUGGGAGGGCUGUGACCGUCUAUGACAAGCCAGCAUCUUUCUUUCAAGAGACCUCUGGACCUGCAGCACCAACUCUUCAUGAAGCUGGGCGGCACGCACUCUCCGUUCAGGGCCUGAACCUGAGGACCCAGACACGGAGCGGUCGGCCUUCAUGGAGCGGGAUGCUGGGAGCGGGCUGGUGAUGCGCCUCCGCGAGCGGCCAGCCCUGCUGGUCAGCAGCACAGGCUGGACAGAGGACGAAGACUUCUCCAUCUGCUGGCAGCUUUAGAAAGUAGGGUCGGUGGAUCUGGGUGUCUGUCUGCACACGUCCUGCAGUGGCCUGGACCUGCCCAUGAAGGUGGUGGACAUGUUCGGGUGCUGUUUGCCUGUGUGUGCCGUGAACUUCAAGUGGCAGGAGCAGAACCCGAAUCUUUCUGGGGAUAGCUUCACAGAUCCACCGCUGAGGAGGAAACAGUGCAGAGCGAGCUGCCCACAGUGAGGCCCUGCUCCUGGGUCAGUCCAGCACACACUGGAGGCCACGAGGAGGAGCCCUGCGGUUACUGUGUCUGGGCUGAGCCUCACUGAAGUAGUUGCUUCCAUUUAGAGCUCAUGUUAUAUUUAGGUUGAUACAAAAGUAAUCACGGUUUUUGCCAUUAAAGAUGGCAAUUACUUUUGCACCAACCUAAUAUGAAAAAAAAGCAUCUUAAAUACUGGAACUCCACUCGGGGCUUUUGCUCCUAGAGUAGAAUUGGCGGGAAUUGCCUGCAGGCUUACAUGGUUUUCUUUGUUUCUUUCUCUCCCACCAUGUCCUGUUUGGCCAAGCUCACGUGCUGGGUUUGAAUGAGUUAAAUGAGUGUCGUGCUGUGGCCUCACUGCACCCAGCGUAGACGGGCAUUUGGAAGGGCGGUGUUAGAGGAGAUUCUAGAAGCAGUAGCCCCAGCACAAGCUGAGCCCUUGGCCCCUGCUCAGGAGCCGGCUCCUGGAUGGGAGUCAGGGAUGUGAGCCCCUCGUGUGAGCUGAGCUCAGGGAAUGUCGGGAUCAAACCUGGUGCCCUAGAAAAGUCAUCUUUUAUGUGCUGAGCCAGUCCCCAGGGUGUUGCCUUUACUUGUUCCAUGGCCAUGGAAUUAAGCAAAACAUGCAAAAAUAAUUCUUCAGUCCUUGAAGAGCAUCCAGCACAGAAGGUAGAAACCCUCCUUAAGGCUCCCUCCUCAAAUCGGUUUGGCCAUUUCGAUGUGCACCCCCCCAGGCCUUUAUACCCUUCAGAUGCCAAAUCUAAGAACCAGCUCCCAGAAACCACACCCCCUGUUCCAACCCCCAGCCUGGCUUGAGCAUGGGUUGUUGGGGGGAGCCCAGGUGGGCACCCCAGGGGUCUGGUGUCUUCUCCAGGCAGCUCUCAGGCUCCCUUGGUUCUCUCUGCAGUUUACAUGAGCUGGUGAAACAUGAAGAAAAUGGCCUGGUCUUUGAGGACUCAGAGGAACUGGCAGCUCAGCUGCAGGUGCUUUUCUCAAACUUUCCUGAUCCUGCGGGCAAGCUAAACCAGUUCCGGAAGAACCUGCGGGAGUCGCAGCAGCUCCGAUGGGAUUAGAGCUGGGUGCAGACUGUGCUCCCUUUGGUUAUGGACACAUAACUCCUGGGCCAGAGGCUAAAACCCCGGGACCCCUGCUGUCCUUCCCACAGCUUCUUCUCAGAGUCUCAGGGCAAAUCCUUUCGAGCAGCGCCUCCCAGUGGCCAGAAGCUGAAAUGAUGGCAGUAGUGCCACCUGGUGAAUGAAUUGGUUCUGUGACCCGGGAAGCUGUGCUUGGCUCUGAUUUCUUUUCUGGAGGCUCGGAAACACUUCCUCUCUUCUUCUGUUCUUCACGCCCCAUGCCCCUGCUAGCGUAUUACUGUUCUGUGACUUCCCUGUGACCUCUGCAGUACUCCUCAUCCUGCGUUUGGUCUCCAGGUGUCACCUUUCUGCC